ensembl:lncRNA
AGGAAAGUUUGGUUUUGUUUUUUUUUUUCCCCUCCCGGUGGUGUUUUUUGGACGGCGCCGGCGGAGCGGGGGGGGGUACGCUUUUCGCAGCUUCUUCGCCUUUUGCUUCCUGGGGUUCGUGUUUCCCGGGCGGGCGGAGCCGCCCCCGGCACUGAGAAGAACGGGGGCUCAGCGCACCGCGGCGGCGCCUCGGCGGGUUUUGUUUUUGCACUGAAUGUAGCCAGUACGGAUCCUUGUGGGCUUUGGCAGCCCUUGGAAACUGUCACAGGCAGUAUUUUGCAUUUCUGCAGAGCUUUGCACAGAUCCUGUUCCCAUGCAGACUGAUGAGGGAGAAAUACUGGAGGAAGGCAGUCCCAAGAUGGAACAUGAGGAUUUUGUAAUGGAGGGGCAUGGCAAGACUCCACCUCCUGGUGAAGAAAACAAACAGAAGAAGAGGGCCUUGUCCUAGAAGUACUUCAGUGAUGGCUGUAUUCUGUAUGGUCUUCAUUAGUUAAUGCAAUGUAUUACUUACUUGCAGUGGGAAUUAGCUGGACAUCAACAUACUGGACUGGGUUUUUGAAAGAGGACAGAGGGGAGCUCUGGAGCAUCUGGCAGAGGAGAAGCAAAGAAGACUGUGUCUGUUUAGCCUUGAGAUAAGAAAACUGGGGAGGAUAUUAUUAUUCAUGUGUCUAUCUGAUGAGGAGACUAAGGAAGACUGAGCCAAAUUCUUCACAGUGGUGCCUGGUGGAGAGGCAAGAAGCCAUUGGCAUAAACUGAAAUACAGGAAGCUCCACUCAAACACAAGGGAAAAAUGUUCUUUUUUUACUGUUAAAAAUGGUCAGACCUUUAGAAGAGGUUACCCAGAAAAGUUGUGACCUCUAAGUGACUCAAAACUCAGCUGAGCACAACCCCAAUUCUGCUUCAACCUGCUUUAGUUAACCAUGCCUUGAGCAAAGGCAUGGGAUUGAUGGUAUCAGAGAUCCAUCCAUCUGCAGUGAUUCUGUGAUUUGUUGUACCCAUAUCUACUGUUAUCCUCCUGGUUGGUUUGAAAUAAAAUUGGAGCUUCUUAGUGAAAGGUAGGUUCUAAGUUUGAAUGUAGAGUCAGAUGUUCUCCACAGAAAUAGCUGAUCCACUGAAGAUGCUUCCUUCCCUUUCCAGCUGUCAUUAGACUUAGUAGAAUUUACUGCCUCUACAGCUAUGCAGAUGGAAUGGUUUUUCUUUGACUACUUCUAAUUUACUUUUCAGGAAAGUUUACCAUUGUAAUUUAAUUGUCUUUCGUUAGGCAGCCUGAUCUGGGUAUCUCUGCACUGGGAUUAUUGAGGAAGUGUUCAGAAGAUACGGUUUCAGCAAGGGAGCAAACUUGCACCGGAGCUCCAGAGCAAUCUGCUAGUAUUGACCUCCUAGGAAAGCCCUGCAAAUUUCUUACUAUUUGUCUGCAUUUCAAUGGGCUCAAAACUUUACCGGACAAUGAAAGAACCGAAAUAAAAAGAUACUUUUGAGAGACUUUUGAUGGAUGCAAUAGUUCUUACCUAGGCCCUGUUUUAUGUGGUAUUUCCUUUACUAAAGUAUAGCUUCAAAACUGAAUAUAAGGAGCCAGCAUCCAUGGAUGAUGUCUGGCACUUUAUGAAACAGAUUUUUUCCCCAGUUUGACUUGGAGAUAAAAACUUGGCAUUUUUGCCUUGUAGUAUUAAACAAAGAUACAAAAAUGCAAACAAACCCAGCAACAACAAACAACCCUGCUGUAAUGUUGUGAGCCCUUUCUACUGUACUGGACAGUUCUUUUGGACAGAUACUAAAGUUACAACAUUUUUUAAGACUUUUAAUUGAGCUGUAGGUGAUACCUGAGAAAUGCUGUCUUCUGAUAGCUGUCACCUUUAUAGGAAGGAAUUACCUGGUUAAACUGUAUACAAGGUCUUCAGAAAUCUUCAACUGAUCUUUCACAGUAUGGAUAUAACUUAUUUCAAUUUAAGCUAAUUAUGAUGAAGUUACCUAUUCAAAAUCCUUAGUACAAGUGAGAAAGUGAAUGGGCACAGUCAUCUCAGUCCUGUGAAAGAUUUGCAUCUAUGUGCAGUGCAUAUGUCACAAAAGAUGUCAUGGUUGUGCAGCAGUCAAGUGAUGUAUGCUAAAAACUGAACUUCAGAAGGAGUGAGCCUGCUGGGACUGCUGGAGCAGAUCAUGGCCAUCUCACACCUUGCUCCUGCUCUGGCUGAGGACCAGUGACUCCUUGAUAAAUUGUUACUUCUCAGUUUUUAUGUACUCUGUAACCUCCCUUCUUAGCUGUCUGGCAUGGGAUAUCACUGUGUGUUAUACUUGGUCACAUUAUUUUUUUUAUGUGGACAAUACAUUUGGUAAGAAUGUUUCCUUCCUUCCUUCCCAAUAGAGAAAAAUUACAUUAUGCUUAAUUACAGGUGAACAUUUUGUUAGAGGUGUUCUCUCAUAUUUUCAUCCAUUACAACAAGGUUGACCUGAACUGGCAUGCUUAGGGAGUAAAUACUCCCCCCACAAAAUACUUACGUUUUACAUGGCAUCAUCCUAUUGUGCCCUUAUCAAUUGUAAUAGGGCUUUUACUUUGCUACUGCUGGAGCAAAGAUUAAGAGGAAAAUGUGAUCCAGAGACAUCUUUCCAAAACAGUCAAACUUCUGUUGAUGAGCAUGGGGCAACCACCGGGGCAGGAAGAAGAAUUCUGCUCAAGUCCUUAAAUUGAGGUUCUGCUCCUGGCUCUAGCAGCAUUAAUUAGCAACUCUCCUUGUGCUAAUAAAUUACCACCUGCUGUCAUAACCAGAAAUGUGUGCACCUUAAUGAGUGAACGGGACUGGGUAGUGAAAAAUUAUUCCUUUUUAUAAGAUAAAUGUAAAUGUUUUACUCUUCCUAACUGACACAUGGAGAGGUCUGUUUGACAGUAGCAAUUCAGACAAAAAGUGAGCCAAAUUCUUACUCACAUCUGGUAGGAAGGUAAGCCAAGCUGCUCCUGCUGUUUGAAGUACCUCAGCUGGCUGUUCCCUAUCUGCUUUUUUGUAGUAACGGGAGAGAAAAGUCUUCAACUAUCUUGACAAUUUGUACAUCUGGAAGUGAUUCACAUUGUAAGAAAGGUAUCAAAACAAGAUAAUUUCUGUAAUUUAGAAAGUUAGAUCUACUGAAUAGGCUUUUCCCUGGCUUGAUAGUUUAAUGUACAGAUUCUGAGGCAAGUGUUUUUGAUGAAACCCCCCAAAAUUGUACUAAUGCCAGGAUAAGAUUGCAAUCACUGAGCAUCACAAAAUUGUUUAACAUUUGGUACUAGUAUCUUAUUUUUCUUUGAUAUUUAAGCACCCUCACAGUGAAGAAAACUUCCUAAUGUUCAGUAAGAAUUUAUGAUCAUUGCUUUUCAUCUUUGAAUGUGUGUAUCUGAACAUGGCCCAGUCUUCAUUAAAACUUGCCACUGUGUUCACUUAGCAGAAUAGCUUCCCCCUCCCCCUCGCUUAGUUUUGCUGUAUGGAAACUAAGUGAAAUCAAGAAGCCAGUCUACAGGCUAGUCUUUGUUUUCAGCAAGCUGCUAUGUCAAGGGCACGUGUAAACAUCACUGCUCUAAUAGCACAAAAGAACCUAUCUUACUCUUUCAUGGUGUUGCUGAAAACUAUAAAAAGGCUCCAGUGGUAUAUCCUGAAGUUGUCUGGUUUGGUUGGUGAGAAUGAUAGACACUGUUAUGAACUACUGCAGUGUUCUUUUGUACAGUUGAAAUUCCACAAAGGUGCCUAGCAUUGCUUCUGUUCCUUUAGGAUAAAACAUUGUUCUUACCAAAUUUAAAGUAAACAGUUAGCUAAAAGCUUUUGUAACACGGGUUUGUUUGAUGUUUUAAGGAUAUUCAAUAUUACAGAAGAUAUUGAGACUUGCCUUGAGUGGCAUUACACUUUUUAAAUUUACUGGCAGUACUAACCUCAGCAGAGGUUGUUUUUUGUCAGAAGAUCCAUGCUUUGAUUUUCAAAGUAGUAUCCAAAUCCUAAUUCAGAUUAUCAACUCAGAUUUGAGGUAUCUAAAUUUGCAUAGCAACCCAAAUUCUGUGAAAUUAAUGGUAAGUUAUUUCUUGAAUUACAUCCAAGAAUUAUGUAAAGGCAUAGCUAUUUUUAUAUUGCUGAUUGUUCUCUGUGUGUAGAAUAACUAGCCUGUUCAGGAAAUGUCCCCCCAAACAUUCAAGUCCUCUGCCUGAGAUCCUAACAAGUCAUGGGAUGUCUGUAUUGGCCAUAGCAGACCUCUCUGUCACAGGGUGUUGCAGCUCUGUUAGUGUGUCAGACUGUGCUUCAGACCCAGUGGUAACUCAGGCUCACUCUGAUCCUGGCAUGUGAGUAGGAGAGUUAUAACUUUUUUCUUUUAUACCCUUAGAGAUUUGAGAGGGUAUUUAAGGGUGUGAGACUAUUAGACUAAAACAAAAUGAAAAUCAGUCCAGCUAAGGAUUAAGGAAUGUUUUCAUGCCCUUCAUACUGUACAGAUGUUUUUAGUCCAUAUAGUGGAGUGAGUGACAGGACAAGUUUGUAUUUGAAGGCAGGUUUACCUGGAUGUUUAAUAGGGCCCUGAGGCAUAGAGAAAAAAUUGCCCUUUAUUUUGCAAUUGAGUGAGUAGAAAUGAAUGAGACAUGAGCAAAAUCUGUAUCUGUAGAGGCAGCUGUGUUUUAGCUGUGACUUGCAAGUCAACCAAGUUACAAAAGCUGACUUGCACCCUUACAAUAUACUACUUCUGAACAAUGUGCAGAAUUUAUACACGAGCACUUUAAAAUGGCAAAAGUUUCAUUGUCUUCCAUAUUUUACCAGUUCAGUGUUAAAUGCUUUGAAGUUUUUGUACUUAAAAUUUUAAGUGUUACCCACAGGAAGACUCUUGUUUGAAUAUUCUAAGCAAAAAUAUUUUAAAAUUAGGCAUUUCUUCUGAAGGUUAGACUUGCAAAAGUUUUCAAUUAUCAUUUCAUGAUUCUUAAGACUCUGCAUUUCAUGUCCUCGGUGAUUUUCUUUUUUUUUUUCCCUUUCAAACCAUGAACAAAUACAGGCUUUUCAUACACCUCAGCCAACCUACAGCUUAGUUUACUGCUGUUUUGCAAGUAUUUUCUUCAUAUGUGGAAAGAAACGGAAGCCAGAUGACCAACCGUUAAGAAAAAUAAAAAGGAAGUCACACAGAAAAAAGUCAACUUUGGAAGUGAAGUUCCCACUUAUUAUCACAAUGUGUUUAGUCUACACCACUGCUGAAUAUUGAAAGAGGAAAAUAUUUUGGACAGUGUACAUUCUAAGUGUGAAUGUUUUGGCAUUUCUUUGCUGAGGAUUUUAUGCUGCUCUCUUCCAGAUGUCUUGUGGUGAGAACAAGCUAGUUUGUUUGGGCUCUCCCCACCCCUAAGAUCUGCAUUUGUCCUGUGUAGGAAGUGCACAGAGCCUGCUUCUGAAUUUGCAGUCUCAUCUGACCAAGAGACUACUUCAUACUUGUCUUAGUGAAAAUAUAUUUUCUUAGUGAAA